CGGGCUGUAGCGCAGCCUGGUAGCGCACCUGCUUCGGGAGCAGGGGGUCGGAGGUUCGAAUCCUCUCGCUCCGACCA
rnacentral:tRNA from 1 species